CUUCACACGACUUUUGGUUGUUGUAGUUAUAGUGUAGUGGUAGUGAGGAGGAACCUUAUCUCCAAUUUGCCAAUAUAUAUACUUGUCCUAUUAAAAUUAAACACAUCCAUACAAUAUUGUAAUAGAGAGAGAGAGAGAUGGCAGAGGGAAAGGGAGAAGUAAAGCACAUAUUGCUUGCAAAAUUCAAAGAAGGCAUAACCGAGGAAGAGAAAGAAGAAUGCAUCAAACGGUUUGAAAAGAUUGUCCACCAUUUCCCUUCAUUGAAGUCCUUUAAAUGGGGUGAAGAGCUUAGCGUUGCAAAUUAUCAACAAGGUUUCACUCAUAUCUUUGACUUAACAUUUGAAAGUGUCGAAGGUGUUGCACACUAUCUUUCCCAUCCAGACCACCUCGCUUACGCCCAGUUUUUUCUGCCUCAACUCGACAACUUCAUUUCUGUUGACUACACACCCAAAUAAAUCCAACCCUUAAAUUAUGUUAUUGUUUUUAAAUAAAACCUGUCAUAUUGUUGAAUCUUUAUGUUACUUUUAAUGCCAAGGUAUUGCACCUCUGUUUAGUGGCUAUUCUUUAUUUGUCGUAGUUUAGCAAAUUAAAUGAAAUUGCUCCAUCUAAAAGAAAAAAAGUAAAAUUAAAUAUUGAGCUAACCAUUUGGGGAAGGAUAUUGAGUAACCACACAAAAAUUUAAAUUCAUAAAACUUAAUUUCUUCACAAAAUUAAAGAAACAGAGCCAUUCGAUUCAAUCUUCUUCAAUAGAAUAAAGAAAGAAAAAAAAAGUGAAAAAAAGAAAGGUUGGUAAAUAUACAAAAGAUUUCGAAGAACAAUGACCAUUUAAUUAUUCCGGGCAUGAUUAUUAAAAAUAAAAAGAGAUUAUGAUUAAUCCCAGAGGUGGGGAAGAAGAUCGCAACAGAGAAACCGCUUCUGCUUCAUCUUCUAAUUUGGAUUUCAGAUUCAGCCAAACUCUCAGGAACAUUCAAGUGUUACUCAAAGGUCGCAGUUUUCCUGGUAGCAUAUCAAUAACAAGGUGUUUGGAUCCUCUUGAUCCACUAGGUGACAGAAGGUUCUCAGACAGUGAUGCUGGCCAAGUGAGACAAACAGAUACAUUGACUGAGGAAAAACCCCAAAACCGCAGUGGUUCAAACACUGUUUCGUUUAGUGACCAUACAAACACUUCGAAUAUGGGUAGCAAAAACAUAAUGAUUCUGGAAAUGGGUGCAAGAGCUACGGAUUCUGCAAGGCUGAUGAAGUUUGCUAAGGAAUUAUCUGAGCCGACGUUAGCUAUAGAAAACUCCGUGAACUAGCAUGGAGCAGCGUGCCCCAGUAUCUGCGUCCUACUGUAUGGAGGCUUCUCUUGGUAUGCCCGGUUCCUUAUACACUCCAUUCAAUACAUCUUUGACAAUGGAUAUGCGCCUUCUAAUUCAGAUAGAAGGGAAGCCGUGCUGAGAAGAAAGCGGGAGGAGUAUCUUGAUUGUGUCGCCCUACAAUAUGAUAUUCCAGAUACAGAGCGCACAGAGGAAGAGAUCAACAUGCUUCGUCGGGUUUUUUUGCUUUGACCAGAUUUUAUUCGCUUCUCCUUUCCAUACAUAAUCUGUCAUUUCGUGCUUCUUGAUGAUGGAUUCCUGGCGUAUGUGGUAGAUUUCUCUCGAUUGUCCCAGAACUGUUCCUGAUGUCUCUUUCUUUCAACAAGAAGAAGUCCAAAAGUCACUCGAGCGAAUACUUUAUAGAUGGGCUAUACAACAUUCAGCUAGCGGUUAUGUGCAGGGAAUAAAUGACCUCGCGACUCCCUUUUUGGUUGUUUUUCUAUCUGAAUACUAGAGGGAUAUGUCGAGACAUGGUCAAUGACUGAUUUACCUCCUGAGAAAAUGUUGGACGUAGAAGCCGACUGUUACUGGUGUUUAACAAAGUUGCUCGAUGGUAUGCAAGAUCAUUACACGUUUGCCCAGCCUGGGAUUCAGUGACUUGUGUUUAAACUAAAGGAGUUGGUUGGAAGAAUCGAUGAACCUUGUUCAAAGCACAUGGAGCUCGAAUUUCUUCAAUUUGCUUUCCGAUGGUUUAAUUGCCUACUUAUACGUGAGGUCAAAGCCCGUGUACUCAUAACAUUUAUUAAGUGCUCCAUAUAUAUCUUCCUACAUUGACUGCGAAAGGGAAUACCGAAUGCUAAUGAAGUUAGUUGUUUACAUAUUCCAUUUGAUCUCGUCACUCGCUUGUGGGACACUUAUCUCGCUGAAGGGGACGCCUUGCCAGAUUUUCUCGUAUACAUUUACGCCAGCUUUCUUCUAACAUGGUCGGAUACUCUACAUAAGCUCGAUUUUCAGGAGAUGGUGAUGUUUCUUCAGCACCUCCCGACUCAUAACUGGAACCAUCUGCAGCUGGAGACGGUGCUUUCGCGGGCGUAUAUGUGGUACACCAUGUUCAACCACUCUCCCAGACAUUUAGCUUGCUGAAUAUAAAUAUAUAUAUCUUUAUAUAUAUAUUUCAUUUGAUUUAAUUUCAAUCAUAUUGUGAGUUUGGAAUGUGUUUCAUUUAUGUUUGUUAGUUGUUUCUGUGAGAUUCAACCUGCAUUUCUUUUCUCCUUGUUGUAUUCAAGUUUAUAUAUACCUUUGUACAGGAGUUUUGAAAGUAUAAAUUCCUAAUAUUGUUAUACUGUCAAA